UACGAAGGGGGCUAGCGUUGCUCGGAAUCACUGGGCGUAAAGCGCACGUAGGCGGCUUCUUAAGUCAGGGGUGAAAUCCUGGAGCUCAACUCCAGAACUGCCUCUGAUACUGAGGAGCUCGAGUCCGGGAGAGGUGAGUGGAACUCCGAGUGUAGAGGUGAAAUUCGUAGAUAUUCGGAAGAACACCAGUGGCGAAGGCGGCUCACUGGCCCGGUACUGACGCCGAGGUGCGAAAGCGUGGGGAGCAAACAGG
rnacentral:rRNA from 1 species